UCAAAGUAACGUAUAUAACUUACCGAGGUUGCAUGCGGUAGCAUUUCUUCGGCAGCUUUGAUCUUGACGGUUUUCUUCCGGUCGUCUUUAAUAUAUUAAAGCUUCGCUGCUUCAACGAUGUGGAAGACCAGAGUGAUGGAUGUGGGGGCAAGUUUAGCGUAGUGGUGGUGUCUCCCAAAUUCCAAGGAAAACCUUUGUUGCAGCGUCACAGACUGAUAGUCCAAUAGACUCGGUGUUGAAGUGAGGCAGCCGCCUCCCGUUUAGUCUUACCAGCAAUGGCGAGUAUGAACGCAUCCCUUCGCCAAGCUUGGAAUGACCGGGUUUUGAAGUAUGAGAGCAACAGCAGCGAGUACAAAUGCACAGUAUGUGAUAAGGUGUACGCUGGAGAAGCCGCAGCAGUGGACCACCUGAAGAGCAGGCGUCACUCUGUGGCGGGAACCAGACAAGCCUUGACCAACCUGCUCAACUCCGAGGAGAAUCCGCCGUCACUAGAGCAGCUUCUCCCCUCAAACAUUAGCAUAGCUCUCAAUCGACGCCUGAUAACAGUCACCGAGGCUAAAGACUUCAGGUGUAACCGAUGUAGAAUAGACAUUGGUGGCAUUGGGCACCUAGAGGAGCAUCUGAAAAGUUCUGGUCACAAGAAGACUAAAGGGUCUGGAAGGCAGAGUCAGAGUCCUGCGUCCACCAGCUCGCGUCCCUGUCUGGUGAGACAUCUCUCCUGUCCAACACCCUGUGAGCGCAGGGAGAGAUCCCAUUCUUCUCCGAAAUAGAAAGCUAGUUAAUCACCUGUUUUUCCUUGGUUGGUUGUGUGUACAAGUGACACAGAGGGAGUAUUCUGAGCAACACCAGCAAAACUAAGAGCUUGAGGUUCCACUGUGGAUUAUUGCUUUAGUGACCCUUUAUGUGUAAUCGUGUUGUGUAGAUCUGAGUUGCUGUGUUCUUGCCACAUCAGGGACUAGUGCAGAUCAAGCAUUGCAGGUAUCGCAUGUGGAAGAUUGGCCUGGGAUCUUGAAAAUUCUCCUGAUUUCCAUAUUGUUCUUAAACAACAAACAACCUUUGGGACUGCUCUACAUAUGAUUGGUAAUGCGCUCCAUGGUCAGUGAUCAAGCGACUGCCUUCUGGAAUCAAGUCUCAGAUACAAAGCCAAUUACAAGCUUUGCCUUCAGAAUGAUAAAAACCUCUUGUGCUCAUAAUGCAGGUGUGAUAAUACGAGGACUUUUUUGAUGACAUAAUACAUCAGUCUUUUGGUGGACAAUGACGUCUGUGAUGAGUAUGAAGCCUUUUCCCCCCCAAAUCUGUAAAUAGACGAGUACUGCAAAGGUGACAUGGUAAUACGAGCAUUGAUUUUCCAAGUGAUGAAGUCUUGAACACUUUGUGAUUGCAGGUGACAUUUGUUAUGUUCAGAGUUCUCUACAGAUGGAAUUCCAAACUCAAGAUUGAACUGUGCAGAACAUUCAUUCCUAACAUUCAAGUUACAUUCGGUUUGCAUCACUGCAGUGAAAUCAAGCAUACUUCCGACAAACUUCUAAACAUGAGCAAAAGUAACGCUGAAAAUUUUAUAUAUAUAUUAGUAUAUAAAAAACUGAAAUGGGAUAUUGAGGAGUAUACAGUAACAAUAUAAUUUCCUCUAUGCAUUUCAAGCCUUAGUACACUUGUACUCAAACAGGGAGCCUUUCGUUUGGAGGCAAAUCAUGUUUCAGACUUUCCUUGUGACAUAGUAUUAACUUACCGAUAUUAAGGAUCUCUUAAUUCCUAGUCAUUAUAAACUUAAAUUCAUGCUGUAGUAAAUACUCUGAAAACUAUGACUCAAGAUGUGUAUACUGUAGAAUACUUAUUGUAGAGGAAAUAGAGAGACUAGAUAUGUUAUUAGAAGAGAUUACAAAUAAGCUUUAUUUAUUAUACACUUAGAAAUGAUAUAUAAUAUGUAUAAAAUAUUUUUUACUUUUUAUGGAUGCAGUUAGCAUGUUAGCUGGAAUGGCCAAUAGUUUACAGUAGUCAUAAAUAGUAGUUCUCAUGUCAAGAGGCUAACUAAGAUGUUACAUGUAUUCCAGGUGUCAGAUUAGCAAAGCAAGAGCAUGUGCUGCGUAGAGAUCUAGACUAGCCUUUCCUAAUGGUAGAUAUACCUGGAUUCUAAGACUAGAUGUUUUGUGGGCAAAUUAUGGUUGAAUAUUUGUGUUGUGGUUACUGUAACUUAAUCCAUUUGGAGAAAAACCACUGACUGGUGUAUAACUUUAUGGGAUUUGCAUUAAUUUUCUAAACCCUCUUUUUAAAAGUUCAAUUAGCUUUGUUGAAUUUCAGUUAUCAGCCAUAAUAAUCUUUGCACUGACAUAAGGAAUAUUCAUAGAAUGUCACAGAUGAUGAGAAAAUUUAACUAAACUUAAAGAGAAGCCAGCAAUUUAGGUAAUGUAAAUAAAAAGAGAACAGAUGCCAUAGAAGAAUAGGCUCAGUUUAAAUUGCGUGAAGUUGUGGGGUAAAAUUGAUUUUUAGAGAUGUCGUGGCGAUUUUGGAAAUGCCUUCCAAACUCUGACUUUUCAAUGAGAAAGCACAUUGCCUUUUGUGAAGAGCAAAUCAAGUAUAUAUCACUUGGAUGGAAAAGCACAAGAACCAGAGUAAUAACCAGUUUUUUAUUAAGGGUUAGUUUUGCGUACCAUCUUCAUUGGAAUCAUGGUUUUUUAAAUUGGUUUUCUGACAAAAUACUGAAUGGCAAAUGGUAUAUGUAGAAGACAAGGAUUUUGAAAAUAUUUUAACAUCAGAAAUUCUAGGCUUAGCCUACUGAGAUGCCAGGAUAGUCCUACUGAAAAUUCAGUUUUAUUCAUGUGUAAAUCUUUUUGUAUUAUAGGCAUUUGACUUCCUGUAGUACAAGGUAGCUUGUAUCCAUUCAAUGGGAAGUCCUAGUUAGUCCUACAAAGAAAGUUGAAAUGGACAGUUAGAUAUUUUCUUGAUAUUUGCACUCGAGUAAAAUCUCAGCGGAUUUCCUUAGUCAAUAAUGAAAUCACAGUUUUUAUAUUCAACAUUGAGAUGAUUUUAUAACAAAUGAUGUUACCUUCAUUGUUAUCGACAAGUAAAUUUUAUGGAUAUCUAUAAGAGCUGUGCUCAGUUUUAAGAUAGUAAUUUGAAUUAAUACAUUUUACAGUUUUUGAUCAAGAAAAUAUUGCAUGAAAGCUUGCACAUGUUAAAGAAGUGACGAAUGUUGAUAUAUUAAAGAAUACUAUAUUGCAUCAUAGAUAUGAGUCAUAUAUUUUUUUAAUGAAUUUGCAGCCUUUCUUCGUUGCUUGUAGCUGGUUUCUGUAGUAUUCAGUUUGAAGCCAUUUUAUGUUUCAAUGUUAGUUUUGUAGCUCAUGACAGUAGCUCCUCAACUUAUCAGAGGCUUCUUCAGGUGUCUAGUCUUGUUGUAGGUAAGAAAUUAUGGUCAACAACAGUGACCCUACAGUUUAACCUAAUCUCAAGCACUAAAUGUGUCCCCCACAGGUGACAGUAAUCUUAUAUAACUUUUUAAGCGCCUCAGUGGCGUGGUUGGUAUGGUGUUUGCGUCCCACCUCGGUGGUCGCGGGUUCGAUUCUUGGCCAUUCCAUUGAGGAGUGAGAGAUGUGUAUUUCUGGUGAUAGAAGUUCACUCUCGACGUGGUUCGGAAGUCACGUAAAGCUGUUGGUCCCAUUGCUGAAUAACCACUGGUUCCAUGCAAUGUAAAAACACCAUAUGAAAAAAAAAAAAAAAAUAACAUUUAUUCUAAUCAACAGUUAACAGCAACCUGAUAUCAGUUUUAGCCUGAUAAAAGCUGUGAUUGACUCGUUGAAUUUAAGAAAUUUUUCCAAAAAAUGCACCACUUUUCAGGUCGGGUAACUUCAGGGGUUACUGUAUCCCAUGUUUAGAUUUUUCAGCAUGUACCAAAGAGAUUAUUUUUUCGUGACUUUGAAACUAUAUUUUUUUACGUCUGUAUUUUCAGUAGGUUUGCCUAUGCUGCAGCAGAGUUGAUUAGUUUUACUGCUGGUCUUUGUACCUUAGAGAGUCCUGGUUACCCAGGUUCCUACAAAAAUGAAACAUUCCAUCUUCUUUGUAAUACUUGAUAUGUAUCAAGCUCAGCUACAGUAAUUCAUCUAUUUCUUGACAUAUUCCAUUUACUUGUACCUCUUGAUGUCUUUUGAGGUUGCAGAUAUUCAUCUAUAGGUACUGUGUCGAGAUUUUUAUGCAGCUCUUGGUCAUGAAGUAAUCAGAGUACUGUACUUAUCGUAUCUUUUAACACUACCAGAUUUAUUUUUAUUGCCUUGCUAACAUUAGCAGGAAGUCAGCUGUAUGGGAUUUCAGAAUUUAAACUACUACUAUAACUAAUAAUAAUAAUAACAGCAGAAUAACAUAGAUGUAGGAAGACCUUGUACUUAAUGUUAUCUCAUAUAACAUUUAGUAAACCCUUUAUUUUAUGUCUCAUUAUAUUAGAAUAGAAAAACCAAAUUAAGUAGGUCAAAUAUUGUAUCGCAAGCUUGUUGGUGUAAGCUGGAACUUGGCACUGCUGUCUCCCCUACCUAUACUGCCCUCACCUGGGUGGACAAACAGGUUUGCAGGAGGGUGGAUAUCUCCCCUACCCCGACCUGGGGCAGAACCCAUUUGCAGGGCUUGGGUUAUGUCUUGAACACAUUCCAGGAUGGUGGAUGAUGACAGACAAGUUCAGUCACUAGGGUCGCCGCUAGCAAUGAUUGGUCUUGACACCUCAACGUUACAAGGAAUUAUUUGAUCUAGGAAAACACGGGGUAGUCCUUCAAUCAAGACACACCAAAGCUGUUACUGUUUGGCUCUGUCUUUAUGGACCAUGGGCAUAACAGCCAUUGUCCAUACCAUUGAAAAUAUUGCUUCUCGUCUGGUCAGCAAAGUUUAGCAAUGAUUGCGUCCGGCCAGUACUUGGAUAGGUGACCUCCUGGGAACACUUAAUGCAGUUGAUGUCUAGGAGUCAUCUUUUGCUUACAUGCUUAGAAGUAUUGGGACUAGUCAGUACUUAGAUGAGUGACCGUCUAGGAAUUUCAGAUCCUGUUGGCGUCUAGGAGACUUUUUUCCCAUCCAUGAUUCAAGUCUUGGGCCUAUGACUUUCCUCAUUCUGCCUGAUUCAUUAGGAAAUCAACAGUAUACAAGCAUCCCCUUUCUAAGGACUAAAGACUACCAAGUGCACAAAAGCCUUUUGUGUUACCACUUAAGUCUCCACCUCUAAAUUAGUGACAGCAAUUUGUUUUUGGUUCUGACUCAGCUAAGAAGUGGUGUCUAGGAGCUCCAUUUCUUUUGACUUUGUAUGAUCAAACGGAUGUACUCCACAGCUGACAUGGUGGACAACAGUAUGUUCCAGGCAAGAUUUCAUAAGAUCAGGGGAAUUGGUCUGCCCCUAACAUUCAGGAAGCCUGUCGGACAAUAACUAAGGAUGGGAAUGUUGGCAUAACAGACCACAUUCGCCUCCUUUUACCUUUGUGACGUUGCCCAUAGAUCCUUGGACUUUUUUGUUUUUGUUAUUGUUUCUUGUGCUCUGUGGUGGCUGCUCAGUAGUCAUGUAGAUUACCCAGCUUUUGAGGACAGGUAGCAUCUUGCCUAAGCUGCAAAGAGGUGUGUGUUGGAAUGGCUUUCUACCUUCUCUUUUAUACCUAAGGGACAGCUGGAUGGGCAUGUAUGCAGGUGUUCUAGAUGGCCAAGUAUCCUGCCUAUAAUCUAGCUCUCUUGGGAUUAAUAGAUGCAGCUCCUUCCUGCUCUAGCAAGGGGAGAGAGGGACUGGCAAUGAACAGACCAGUUGGUUUUCUUCAACUCUAUUGUCCUCAACAAUUAGGAUUCAUCUAAGCCUAUAUUUGAAUCAUUGACAUUACCUUCCAUCUAUUUGCAGACCCAAAAGUCUGGCAGUGGAACAUCACACUUGUUCAACAAAUCAGAGGUAUGGGUCUCCUUCCUUUGAUCUUGCAUGGCCAAGAAAGAGGACCCAGGUGAGGUGAACUAACAGUCAGUUCAGAGAUUUGCUCAGAAUCCUGCCACCAAGGAGUAAGUCUCUCAUAUGGAAAGACCGAGGAUUUGUAUACAAGUAGGAACAAAUGACAAAUUUUAAAAUAAUUUGUAUGUUUCCUAACCUACAAACCUGAUGGCUUUUACAUAAAAGUCCCACCUCUGCCCCCCCUAGAUGUUCGGUGUUUGACCAUUCUUCACCCGAUCUACACGUGUUGCCAGGUACCACAAGAUUCCUUGCUUUCAUCUGCUUUUUUACCGGAUCCAGCUAGGCGCUAGAAAUUAUCCUAUUGUUAAGACCUCAGGUUUGUAGCUAUGAAAAAUACAAAUUGUCUUAGAAAAUUUGUCAUUUUUAACCUAAGACUCCGUCCACGCGGUCGAGGUUUGCUCAAUGUGACGUCAGAAGCGCAGAUACAGCGGGAAAAGGUCUGACUUUCCCCCGCUUCUGACAUCACAUCGAACACAGUUCGUCGAGUACCAUAUGGACGGGGCUUUGGCCAUAAUUUGCAUGUUUAGGAAAUUUUGCAAUUAGGCCUACCUUACAAUUUCGAUGAAUCUUGAAUAGUCAUACAGUACCUCUGUGAAAAGACUACCGUGUCAUGUGUCGAAUAAAAUGUAUGCCAUUAGUGAUGGAUUGGAAAUUUUUGUUCACAAUGUGUCAUUUUGAUUUUGGUAUUGCUGAUUUUGAAAAGCAAAAUUUUACACACAAAUUUACCUGAAUUUAUGCUGUAGGCAAUUUUCAAAUUAGUUCUCUUAUAUGGCAAAAUUUUGUUGAUACCAUGAAAUAAAAUUUGUUGUAAAUCAGUUAGUUUAUGUUCAAGAAAAUUGUUCAUGAAGAACAUUGGAGUAGUAUCGGAGGAGUGACAGAACAAAGGAAUAAUGGAAAUAAGAAAAGAUUUCAAAGAAUUAGUAAUGUGAAUAUAAUGACAAGUACAUCCUGACCAAACCUAACAUAACCUAAGGCGCUGCAUCCCACAGAUGUGGGGUAGAGAGUGAUCCCCAUAGCAAUACUUUGUCCCGUUGCUGAAUAACCACUGGUUCCAUGCAAUGUAAAAACACCAUACAAUCAAAACAAACAAACAAAUUAAAGUAAAGUCAGCAGUCCUUACAAGGUUAAACCCUAACCCAACUUGACCCAGGGUGUAGGGUACUAACUGAACAAGAUGGGUUUCAUACCUCUUUCCUCAUCAAGCCCUCCCAUCUUGUGGGUCCACUGCCCUACCUGAGGAUGGCAGGAUAGUGUUAACCAUACCUUGAAUCCAUGCAUACAAUUAGGAUAUGUCAUACCUUUAGUUUAGAAGGUCAAAAUUGGUACUCUUGUGAUACAGAAUUUUUGUCACUAAGUACAAAAGAAAUUCAAAAGUUCAAGCAAAGAUGCUAUUCCUUGAAUUUUAAUACAUUUUUGUCCAUUUAUUA